GGUGGUGGUGGUGGCGCACUUUUGCCGAGACGUGAACUCUCGCACGAGGUUCCUGUUCGCUUCUCGGCGUGAGGAAACUUGCUCAAGCCGGCGCCCCCGGGGACUCCCGUGCAGUCGCCGUGCCCAGAUGCUGGCACCGACUUCCUUCAACCCGCGCAGCUGCCCCCGCACAGGUGCCGCUGGAGGCUUUGGCUGCAUCGGCUGCCUGCACAGGUGCGCGACGGGUGGCACGACGCUUGCGCCCCGGGUGCGGCGGGACCGUGGCGACUGGUGCAGGUAACUGUGUAAGGAAUGACAAUUUCUUCUUGGUUCUUUCGGUAAAGUCACGUAGAAGGAAAAUAAUAAAAUAAUAAAAAUAAAACAUUAAAUAAUUCUCACGACGUUUCGGCCACAACGCAAGCAGCCGUCCUCAGGUGAAGAACAGGUCUGUCGGGAAGACAGCGUCUGAAUGAAACACCCCAGGCUUGGAGCGUACAUUUAAGCUGGGUUGGAGGGGGAAGAGCGCCUUGACAAAAUAAUUUGCAUAUGACGACUUCCCGAACAAUCGAACCAACGCCUCGCACCUCCACGCGGCGGUAGCCACGCAGAUCGUCUCGUCGCCGCAGGAUCGCCAGUGAGGUGGCGGCGGCGGCAGUCUGGGGGGGGGAGGGCCUUCAUCCAGCAGUGGAUUGAACCUGGCUGAUGCUGGCGAAGACGACGAACGAACUUACCUAGAAAGCCUCGCCGAGUCCCAAGGCUUCUUCUGUCAAGAGGGUCCUGCCGCUCCGUUGGGGUGUUUGGCUGCGGCGGCCGGCAAACGAUACCUUUGGCUGCGAUGCAUGGGCGCCACGGUGGCUAGAUGUUAACUACCUCGCCUGGUAUACAGGAGGUUGUGGGUUCGAUCCUGACCUUGACGCCUGCUGUAUAUUUGGAGUUUGCCUGUUCUCUCGCUCCCCGUCGUCGUCUUGGGCGACAUUCAGAAACACGUGUUUAGAGUAUUUGGCUGCGAUACAUUUCCAGGUGAUAGAAGUCACUUCGUUGCGCUAUUAUUUGUGGCCAGGUCGCUUCUGAAAAAGAGCUGCAUAGCUCGGUGGGGGCCCUACCUGGUAAUUAAACUGAGAAACCACAGGUGCAACAAUUAAACCACUCUCCCCACCCCCCACCUGCGAUUCAAUAAUCGAUUCUCAGUUAAACACUGCAGCGAUUGUAGAGGCUAUUUGUGGCUGCAGUGGUCACCUGACCCUGUUUGCAGAUGAACGCGUGCGAACCGAAGACAACAAAUGAUUUCUGCCAUCUGAGGCUUGCGUUGUGAUCUUGAGGAUCGACGAUAAUCGUGUAAGUCUGUACGUCAUUACACGCCCCACCACCACAACGAACGGACGAGCCCCUGGCACUUGGAGAGAAACGUCGGCGUGGGGGGGGGGGGUCACGACCACAACAACAACAACGCACGCAAUGACACACAACAGCAUCGUACGCCACGACCACAACAACAACAACGCCACGACCACAACAACAAUGCACGCCAUGACCACCACAACAACAACGCAUGCCACGACCACAACAACAACAACGCA